rnacentral:lncRNA from 1 species
AUCAAGUACACCUCCAGCGUGACACACCUGCCCAUUAGCCUGAAUCUAAAGUGCCCAGAGAAAUGAAAGAAAAUUGUUUGCUGUGAAGUCUAAUUGAAAAAUCUGCUUGAAAUGGUCCAGGAAGUAGCCCAAAAUAGGUUUCACACUAAUGUAUAUCAGGAUCCUUUGCCAAGAUAUCCUAAGUUUUCAAUCUGGUGAACUCUGGAGAAGGAUGCUGAAUACAGGAGGCAAUAAGGACAUAGUGAUUUACUGAGAGCCAUCAUUUCUUCACUCAAGAAGGGAAAGGAAAAAAGUUCCGGUGAAGAACAGGCAACACAGAGGUCAGAGGGCAUCUACUUUGCUGUUGCCAGUUUGUGAAGCACGAAGAAAGAAGUGACUGGUGGCAUCGCAGAGACACUCCUCUGAGACAAAACAAAUACACA